GCAUCGGCCUCUUUGCCCAUCCGUAAGGAAUCGUCAUGUUCUUGAAAGCUGUUUCACCACUUCAGGACAUUCAAAAGGCCUGUCUUCAUAUGAGAGGUGCCUCCAGCACGACCAUCUUCAUGUCCCUCCUCACGACUAUCUCCCACAGAUAUGCCUCCAACACUCUUAUAUUGGGGCCCCAGAGCUGGAUGCAGUAUUCCAGAUGGCAUCUCAGGAGAGCAGAGCAGAGCGAGAGAAUCACCUCCCUCAAUCUGCUGGCCACACUGCUUUUAAUGCAGCCCAGGAUAUAUGUGGCUUUUUGGGCUGCAAGUACACAUUGGUGGGUCAUUUUGGGCUUCUCAUCAACCAACAUCCCAGGUCUUUCUCCUCAGGGCUUCCCUUAAUCUAUUCUCUGUUCAGAGGUGGUUUGGAUUACCCUGACCCAGGUGCAGGACCUUGCACAUGGCCUCAUUAAACUUCAUGAAGUUGGCAUGGGCCCAUCUUUCAAGCCUGUCCAUGUUCCUCUGGAUGGCAUCCCUUCUCUACAGCUUGUUGACCACAUGGCUUGGUGCCAUCAGCAGACUUGCUGAGGGUGCACUUGAUUCCACUGUCCAUGUUGCUGACAAAGAUGUGUAACAGCCCAUCCCAACACUGAUCUGCGAGGAACUCAUCACUGGUCUCCACGUGGACAUUGAACUGACUGAGUAUGACUGAAUGUUUCCCCUUUUCCAGAUGGUAGGAACUUCAUACUGUUGUUAAUCUGUGCAAUUAUGAUGAUGUCACUUCGCACCCCACACUGGGCAAAGGGCUGGUAUUAUUUAUGUAGACAUUGUCACAGUGAUCUAUGCUUUCGUAACCUUGAGACGAUUGCAACACGCCCUUAUGCAUGCUUUAAACAGAUUUAGAAAACUAAUACAGUGCAAGGGAAAAUAAUUCCCUUAUGAAACAGCGGUUUAACUCCCAAAGCAAUGAAGAUUUUGUAGAAGUCUGGCAAUUGGCUCUGCCCUAUUUUCCCUACACUGCAUACAAUUGCUGGACUUCUUUCUCUGUGUGUUUGGGUUUUCUGAACACAAGUGAACACAGCUGGCUUGGAAUAAGAGUACUUGGAAGAAAGAGACUAAUUCAGUGUCUUGCCCUGUGAGCACAGAGGCCACAGCAUGAAGUGUUACCAAAUUUUAGAAUUCACUUUCCAUUUUGAUAAGAAGUGUCUUGUCUGUGGGUCCAAGUCCAAAGCAGUUUUUCCCUGGGAAUUUACGGGGGAGAAUGAAACAAGGAUUCAAGGCAACUUGGAACAAAUUUUGGAAUGAAAUCACACUGUAAAUCAUUGUUGUAAUGUUUAUUGAAGAAAUUCUGAAUUGUCUGGCUGAUGUUUUCCACAGUGUCUAUGAAAAUGCUAUAAGAAAUUCUAACAUUGAAGACACCAAGUUCCACAAAAAGGGUGUGGUCACAGUGACAUUUCUGUUGUCCUGAGGAAUUUUCAGGCAUCCAGCUCUGGCACCAAAGCACCAAACCCCCACCAAACUGUGAGACUCCUGGGUGACUGUUCCAGUUAAGUGAAGGAAAACAUGCAAAUCAACUACCUGGAAACCACUCAAAGAAAAAAAUAUCUCUGGAUUCUGUCUCUCUCCCAGUUUUAAGUAUUUGCCUGCAGGUCUGAUUAAAUAUCCUUGUGAUUCUAUUGUGAUAUCCCAAUGAACCUGGCUCACAUUUAAGUGCCUAACUCAUGCCUUUGAACAAGGGCAAUUGGCUUUAGAGUACGGUUCAAACAACUAUGUCUUCCCAUCAGCUUAAGCACAUUUGCAGGUGGAAUGAAACCUGGGGUUCAGUUCAGUGCCUUUUCAGCAGGUUACGUCUGACACCUACUCACAGCACUGUGUUUAGACCUACCCUUCUCCAAGAACUAUGUUUCACCUGUCAAGAACUUAAGUUGGUGACAGAAAACUUUUUUACCAGUGCAGUGAGAAACAGAUGAAAAAUUUUUUAAAGGCACUGCCCUCCAAGGCAACCUAUAAGGGAGGCUAGGUUUGGGGACACCUUGCCAAGACAGAGUCUGCUUCUGCAUCAUGGUUUGACUGCACUUAUUGCUAAGGGAGACUAUUUCAGCUUUGAAUUUUCCCGUGUGGAUUGAUCUAUGCAUGCACACAUUAAAUCAGUGCAUAUCACUCAAUAUGCUCCAGGUCGUUUUGUUAACUGAAUUAGCAUUUUACUUUAAAAAAAAAUCUGUUUGUACAAAACAUGUUGCUUGUCUGAAAAACUAAAUUUGUCACACUACUGAAAAGAAACAAACAAAUCAGCAUAUUAAAAUAUAUAUUCUGUAGAAACAGAUUUAGGAAACAGAUGUGGUUUAAAUGUAAACAAUGCCUAGAAAUCUCACAAGUUUAUCUUCAGACUGAAUACCAGAAAUGAUGAAGAGGUGAGUUAAUUUUAAUUUGUGAGGGGCCUGAAGGAUAUCUUUUAUCAAAGCCUCUCCACAAGAUAAUUCUGCAGCACAGAGAGUAACAGACAGAUAACCUCUUUCUCUUCUAGAAGGAAUACAUAUAAUCACUUCAAGAUUUUAUUACACUCUUCUCCCCACACCCCAGAUGAACUAAAACCAUGGUAUUUUUGGUCAGCCCUAUCUAGCCCUAGUACUAGGGUACAGAGAGUUUAUCUACCAUCCUAUCAGUGCUGUUGAAGAAAUGGAAAUAUGAACUGCCAGCAUAAUGAGGCCCACAAGAUUUGCUAGAGUAGUAAGAAAAUGGCUAACAGAAAGAACCCAGUUUCAACUUCUCUAAACUCAGGCCAAAGAUUUUCACAUUUAUGAGAGACUGCCUUCUAACUUUAAGGGAAUUUGUAAAUCCUGUUUGCUCAUCAAACUGGAGUUAGAAAGGAAGCUAAAUGGAUUGUGACCAGAAGCAACCA